GACGAACGCUGGCGGCGUGCUUAACACAUGCAAGUCGAACGGAAAGGCCCUGCUUUUGUGGGGUGCUCGAGUGGCGAACGGGUGAGUAACACGUGAGUAACCUGCCCUUGACUUUGGGAUAACUUCAGGAAACUGGGGCUAAUACCGGAUAGGAGCUCCUGCUGCAUGGUGGGGGUUGGAAAGUUUCGGCGGUUGGGGAUGGACUCGCGGCUUAUCAGCUUGUUGGUGGGGUAGUGGCUUACCAAGGCUUUGACGGGUAGCCGGCCUGAGAGGGUGACCGGCCACAUUGGGACUGAGAUACGGCCCAGACUCCUACGGGAGGCAGCAGUGGGGAAUAUUGCACAAUGGGCGGAAGCCUGAUGCAGCAACGCCGCGUGCAGGAUGACGGCCUUCGGGUUGUAAACCGCUUUCGCCUGUGACGAAGCGUGAGUGACGGUAAUGGGUAAAGAAGCACCGGCUAACUACGUGCCAGCAGCCGCGGUGAUACGUAGGGUGCGAGCGUUGUCCGGAUUUAUUGGGCGUAAAGGGCUCGUAGGUGGUUGAUCGCGUCGGAAGUGUAAUCUUGGGGCUUAACCCUGAGCGUGCUUUCGAUACGGGUUGACUUGAGGAAGGUAGGGGAGAAUGGAAUUCCUGGUGGAGCGGUGGAAUGCGCGGAUAUCAGGAGGAACACCAGUGGCGAAGGCGGUUCUCUGGGCCUUUCCUGACGCUGAGGAGCGAAAGCGUGGGGAGCGAACAGGCUUAGAUACCCUGGUAGUCCACGCUGUAAACGGUGGGUACUAGGUGUGGGGUCCAUUCCACGGGUUCCGUGCCGUAGCUAACGCUUUAAGUACCCCGCCUGGGGAGUACGGCCGCAAGGCUAAAACUCAAAGGAAUUGACGGGGCCUCGCACAAGCGGCGGAGCAUGCGGAUUAAUUCGAUGCAACGCGUAGAACCUUACCUGGGUUUGACAUGGAUCGGGAGCGCUCAGAGAUGGGUGUGCCUCUUUUGGGGUCGGUUCACAGGUGGUGCAUGGCUGUCGUCAGCUCGUGUCGUGAGAUGUUGGGUUAAGUCCCGCAACGAGCGCAACCCUUGUUCACUGUUGCCAGCACGUUAUGGUGGGGACUCAGUGGAGACCGCCGGGGUCAACUCGGAGGAAGGUGGGGAUGACGUCAAGUCAUCAUGCCCCUUAUGUCCAGGGCUUCACGCAUGCUACAAUGGCUGGUACAGAGAGUGGCGAGCCUGUGAGGGUGAGCGAAUCUCGGAAAGCCGGUCUCAGUUCGGAUUGGGGUCUGCAACUCGACCUCAUGAAGUCGGAGUCGCUAGUAAUCGCAGAUCAGCAACGCUGCGGUGAAUACGUUCCCGGGGCU
rnacentral:rRNA from 1 species